UACGAAGAGUUCUGAGGGAUGGAAUGGAGCCCCAGAAAGGGCAGUUGAUGGCGACCCUGAUACUGACUACGGACAAAAUUCCUGCUCACACACUCAGAAAGCAGUUAACAAUUGGUGGAUGGUAGAUCUAGAAAGGCCCUACAGGAUUGCAUAUGUGAGAAUUUACAAUCGAGAAGAUUGCUGCAAGGAACGAUUGGCUGGCGCCCAGGUUCGUGUAGGAGAUAAUUCUGAUGGUAUGCUGACUAAUACCGAAUGUGGAACGCCUAUAACUGAUGCAGAAAUCAAUGCCGGGGCCGUGAUAG